rnacentral:rRNA from 1 species
GAUGAACGCUGGCGGCGUGCCUAAUACAUGCAAGUCGAGCGAACAGAUGAGGAGCUUGCUCCUCUGACGUUAGCGGCGGACGGGUGAGUAACACGUGGAUAACCUACCUAUAAGACUGGGAUAACUUCGGGAAACCGGAGCUAAUACCGGAUAAUAUAUUGAACCGCAUGGUUCAAUAGUGAAAGACGGUUUUGCUGUCACUUAUAGAUGGAUCCGCGCCGCAUUAGCUAGUUGGUAAGGUAACGGCUUACCAAGGCAACGAUGCGUAGCCGACCUGGGAGGGUGAUCGGCCACACUGGAACUGAGACACGGUCCAGACUCCUACGGGAGGCAGCAGUAGGGAAUCUUCCGCAAUGGGCGAAAGCCUGACGGAGCAACGCCGCGUGAGUGAUGAAGGUCUUCGGAUCGUAAAACUCUGUUAUUAGGGAAGAACAAAUGCGUAAGUAACUAUGCACGUCUUGACGGUACCUAAUCAGAAAGCCACGGCUAACUACGUG